UAAAGGAAAAGAAACAAAUAAUUUUUUUAAUUCCUUCAUUUUGGGUUUUUCACUUUUUUGAAUUUUUUUCGAUUUAAAAAAAAUUUAAAAAGAUAAUUUGACCGAUCCUAACUGAUACCGUGACCGAUCCGGAAAAACUGUACGAUUUUCUAUCCAUAUCGAUACGGAUCCGUAUGGUAUCGGUUUUGUCAUUGACCGAUACCGAUACCGAUACAGACACCGAGUUUUAAACCCUUGCUCACAAUCCCAAGCUAGUGUUCGUAUUUCCCUUUCUCAUUCAUGGCUCUGCUUCCUUCAUUACAGAUCUAGAAGGUGUGAAUCGAGCAGCUGUUCACAGUAGAGACCACCGAGCAGCGACCAGCAACCCUCGACUGAGCAGCAACCAGCGACCAGUACCACCAGACCCUUAUUCCUCCCUUUUCUGUUGGAGAUUUGCUUUCUCAGCUCAAACAACUACAGUAUGCGUUGUCGACCUGGAUACCGGCCUGACCGAUGUGGAUCGAAAUGCACUCUCUCAUUUUCUCUUAGCGAGAAGGAAAUUUCGAAGGAAUGCGAGAAAUGUAGGAGGAAAAGCGAGAAGGAGGAGAAGAAAGCAGACAAACACGGGCGUUUAUUAAGACGCCUCUUCGAUGAGGGAUGAACAGGUGUAGAGGGUUUCGCCUGGCGUUUUAUAGGAGAAGAAGCGGAGGGGAAGAGAGGGAGAAAUAGAUACCAGGUUCUUUAACCACCGUUAGUUAAUCGUGGUCACCGUCACGGACUGUUGCUUUGGCUCGUUUCCAAUUUCUACCUCUGUCCUUAUCCAACGGAUGCUUGUCCAUAACCUAAAAUCGCUGCACGUUUUCAAAAAUCAAACCGGUCCUCACUCUCAGAAAACGAAACCGGAGCAGCGAAGAGCCUCUGCCAGAACUGGUAUUUUUUCUCUCUCUCUCUCUCUGGGACGAAAGCUACUGGAGGCGGUGAAACCACUUACUCUUUAACAGAGCUCUACAAUUCCAUUCCUCACUCUCGAGUUUCAACCCUCCUUGUGAAAACCAGAGCUUCAGCACUGAAGCGGUUCUUUUGUUGGUCACAACAAGACUCCAUUGCAUCUACAGAAAGUGCCGGACGGUAGGGUUCACCAGUUCGGACUUCAGGGGCGCAGGACUCUAAAGUGGAGGGAGGGAAUGUAGUUCCAAUUUAGGAUCUUCCGCUUCUUCUUCCUUACGAGUUUCAAUUCAACUUCUAAACAUUUAAGUCCUUGGUUUUGUUUUAUUCGUUCUUCUCAGAUUCUUAAAUUUGUGCUUUCUUCAUUUU